ACGUGUAGCGGUGAAAUUGCGUAGAGAUGUGGAGGAACACCAGUGGCGAAGGCGACUCUCUGGUCUGUAACUGACGCUGAGGAGCGAAAGCGUGGGGAGCGAACAGGAUUAGAUACCCUGGUAGUCCACGCCGUGGGCGAUGAGUGCUAAGUGUUAGGAGGUUUCCGCCCCUUAGUGCUGCACCUAACGCAUUAAUCACUCCUCCUGGGGAGUGCAGUCGCAAGACUGAAACUCACAGUAAUUGACUGAUGCCCGCAC
rnacentral:rRNA from 1 species